rnacentral:rRNA from 1 species
GACAGAGGGUGCAAACGUUGUUCGGAUUUACUGGGCGUAAAGCGCGUGUAGGCGGCUUUGCAAGUCGGAUGUGAAAUCCCACGGCUCAACCGUGGAAGUGCAUCCGAGACUGCAUCGCUGGAGUCUCGGAGAGGAAGGUGGAAUGCUUGGUGUAGAGGUGAAAUUCGUAGAUAUCAAGCAGAACACCUGCGGCGAAGGCGGCCUUCUGGACGAUGACUGACGCUGAGACGCGAAAGCGUGGGGAGCAAACAGG